rnacentral:rRNA from 1 species
UACGUAGGGUGCGAGCGUUGUCCGGAAUUAUUGGGCGUAAAGAGCUCGUAGGCGGUCUGUCGCGUCGGUCGUGAAAACUUGGGGCUUAACCCUGAGCUUGCGGUCGAUACGGGCAUGACUGGAGUUCGGCAGGGGAGACUGGAAUUCCUGGUGUAGCGGUGAAAUGCGCAGAUAUCAGGAGGGACACCGGUGGCGAAGGCGGGUCUCUGGGCCGAUACUGACGCUGAGGAGCGAAAAGCGUGGGGAGCGAACAGG